CAGAGGUAACCGUUGUGUGUUGAGCCCCGCUCGCCUCUCUUCGCUUCGAGAGAUCCACCUACGCUUUGGUUGCUGCUGCCGCUUUCUGCAUGUGCCCGCCUCGACUCGCUCAAGGAUGUUUUUCGAUUGAAUCUCCACUACCUUCUCAUCUCUGCCCACUCACCAGUUCGAUAGGAUGAGGAACAUCAAAACAGGGCUACUAUGGUGUCGCUAACCACAACAAGGUGUAUAGAUGCUGCCUUUGACAAAACAUACAAAACACCCAGAAUUCCAGCAAGAAUUGAGUUCUGCAAUAAAGUUUUGGUAGGAUAUGCCAUCCUCUAA